UUAUGCUGGCAUUGAUCCUGUUUCCAGAAGCAGAUCAACAUUAUUCCUCAAGACUCCAAAGAGAUCAACUAUGGGACCUGAAAAUAAAGGCAGACUGCCAUCAAUUUCAUGUUUCUUUGAUAGCAGACAAAUAUGCUUCAACAAUAGUGCAGAGAGUAAUUUAAGGUUUGGACUGCAAGUGAUGGACACACUAAAAAACUCAACUCAAAGAAUUCAAUGGAUAGUGCUGAGUACAUUAUUAUAUAUCUACAAAGUGAUGGGCACACUAAAUAGCUUUACUGACAGAAUUCAAUGGACCGUGCUGAGUACAUUGUUAUCUACAAAGUGAUGUACACACUAAAUAGCUUAACUCACAGAAUCCAAUGGACAGAGCUGAGUAUGUACUGAUAUCUACAAAGUGAUGGACACAGUAAACAGCUUAAUUAAUUCUCAGGAUUCAGUGUACCAUGCUGAGUACAUAACUCAUUAAGGAUAACUCAUGAUCAUAUGACAUCCACAGCAGAUCACUCAAAGUUUGUUUUAGACUUUUAGAUUAUAAAUAAAUAUAACAAUAUGCAAAAUCUAAAUUCUUUUAUAUUUUCUCUCCUUUGAUUUAAAUGGCAGACCUUGCAGUUUUUAGCUCAUAUGAGAUUUUCUGAUCACCUGUUGUCUGUCGUCCAUCCGUCUGACUGUCCAUUCAUCUGUAAACUUUUCACAUUUUCAGCUUAUUCUUGAGAACCAUUGGGCCAAUUUUGACCAAACUUAGUACAAAACAUCCUUGGGUAGUGGGAGUUUAAAUUAUAAAAAUAAAGUCCCCUUCCGAGGGGAAAUUGUCAAGAAUAUACAAAAAUAGGGUGGGGUCAUAAAAAAAUCUUCUCAAUAACCACUGGGCCAGAAAAGCUAAACUUCUGUGGAAGCAUCCUGGGGUAGUGUUACUAGUGUAGAUUCUAAGUUGCUUGGAUCAUGACCCCUGGGGAUCGAGAAAGGUCAAGAUAGGUAUUAGGGGGAAAUCUGUUUAAUAAUAUAAUGGCCAAGGUUACUCAGGUGAGUGAUGUGGCCCAUGGGCUUCUUGCUUAUCUAAUUUAGUUUUAUCUUUGUAUGCAACACUUUUUCCUUCUUUUAGUUGUUACUGAGGUUCUAAGUAAUUUAAGUUUUUUAUGAAAUAUUUUUCCUUGUCAAGUUCUAUAAGCAUGUUCUACUUCAUACACAAGUAGUAUAUGAAGAUUUUGUAGAUGUUUCAUAUUUUUUCAAUUUUUCUUGAAAAGCCUAACUGAUGUACAUGUAAUUGUAAAAACUGUGUUUGUCCCUUGUGAUACAUGAUUAAUUUAUGUCAGUUUGAAUUUAUCAUAUAUAUUAAAAUACACUAUUAUACAG